rnacentral:rRNA from 1 species
UGGGGGGAGGCCUGGUGCACUGACGCGACGUGAGGGAAGAAGGCUUUCGAGGUUGAAGACCUCUUUCAUGAGGGACGAGACUCCUCGAGGUUAUUGGCCGGGAGGGUGAGGGAACGUUCGGACUACGGCCCGGCUAACUACGUGCCACUCAGCCGCGGUAAUACGUAGGGGGCAAGCGUUGUCCGGACUUAUUGGGCGUAAAGAGCGUGUAGGCGGCCAGAUAGGUCUGUUGUGAAAACUCGAGGCUCAACCUCGAGACGCCGAUGGAAACCAUUUGGCUAGAGUCCGGAAGAGGAGAGUGGAAUUCCUGGUGUAGCGGUGAAAUGCGCAGAUAUCAGGAAGAACACCCGUGGCUAAGGCGGCUCUCUAGUACGGUACUGACGCUGAGACGCGAAAGCGUGGGGAGCGAACAGGAUUAGAUACCCUGGUAGUCCACGCCGUAAACGAUGGGUGCUAGGUGUGGGGGGUGUCGACUCCCUCCGUGCCGAAG